rnacentral:rRNA from 1 species
CCGCGGUAAUACGGAGGGUCCGACCGUUAUCCGAAUUUAUGGGGUUUAAAGGGUCCGCAGGCGGUCUGAUAAUUCAGGGGUGAAAUGGUGCGGCUCAACCGUAGCACUGCCCUUGAUACUGUUAGUCUUGAGUAAGGGUGGAGUGGCCGAAAUAUGUAUUGUACCGGUAAAAUGCAUAAAUAUUACAUAAAACACCGAUCGCGAAGGCAUGUCACUAACCAUUUACUGACCCUAAUGGACGAAAGCGUGGGGAGCGAACAGGAUU